GCAGAACGCGAAGAACCUUACCAAGGCUUAAAUGUAUUAUGACCGUCCUGGAAACAGGACUUCUUCGGACAGAAUGCAAGGUGCUGCAUGGCUGUCGUCAGCUCGUGCCGUGAGGUGUCAGGUUAAGUCCUAUAACGAGCGCAACCCCUAUCACUAGUUGCCAGCGUUUCAAGACGGGGACUCUAGUGAGACUGCCAACGCAAGUUGCGAGGAAGGUGGGGACGACGUCAAGUCAUCACGGCCCUUACGCCUUGGGCCACACACGUGCUACAAUGGCCGGUACAGAGGGCAGCUACUAUGUGAAUAGAUGCGAAUCUCGAAAGCCGGUCUCAGUUCGGAUUGGAGUCUGCAACUCGACUCUAUGAAGCUGGAAUCGCUAGUAAUCGCAUAUCAGCCAUGAUGCGGUGAAUACGUUCCCGGGUCUUGUACACACCG
rnacentral:rRNA from 1 species